rnacentral:rRNA from 1 species
AACGAACGCUGGCGGCAUGCCUAACACAUGCAAGUCGAACGAGACCUUCGGGUCUAGUGGCGCACGGGUGCGUAACGCGUGGGAAUCUGCCCUUUGCUUCGGAAUAACAGUUAGAAAUGACUGCUAAAUACCGGAUGAUGUCUUCGGACCAAAGAUUUAUCGGCAAAGGAUGAGCCGCGUAGGAUUAGGUAGUUGGUGGGGUAAAGGCCUACCAAGCCGACGAUCCUUAGCUGGUCUGAGAGGAUGAUCAGCCACACUGGGACUGAGACACGGCCCAGACUCCUAACGGGAGGCAGCAGUGGGGAAUAUUGGACAA